rnacentral:rRNA from 1 species
UACGUAGGUGGCAAGCGUUGUCCGGAAUUAUUGGGCGUAAAGCGCGCGCAGGCGGUCCUUUAAGUCUGAUGUGAAAGCCCACGGCUCAACCGUGGAGGGUCAUUGGAAACUGGGGGACUUGAGUGCAGAAGAGGAAAGCGGAAUUCCACGUGUAGCGGUGAAAUGCGUAGAGAUGUGGAGGAACACCAGUGGCGAAGGCGGCUACCUGGCCCAAUACUGACACUCAGGUGCGACAGCGUGGGGAGCAAACAGG